GACGAACGCUGGCGGCGUGCUUAACACAUGCAAGUCGAACGGAAAGGCCCUGCUUUUGUGGGGUGCUCGAGGGGCGAACGGGUGAGUAACACGUGAGUAACCUGCCCCUGACUUUGGGAUAACUUCAGGAAACGGGGGUUAAUACCGGAUAGGAGCUCCUCCUGCAGGGGGGGGGUUGGAAAGUUUCGGCGGUUGGGGAUGGACUCGCGGCUUAUCGGCUUGUUGGGGGGGGAGUGGCUUACCAAGGCUUUGACGGGUAGCCGGCCUGGGAGGGGGACCGGCCACAUUGGGACUGGGAUACGGCCCAGACUCCUAAGGGAGGCAGCGGUGGGGAAUAUUGCCCAAUGGGCGGAAGCCUGUUGCAGAACCGCCGCGUGCGGAAUGACGGCCUUCGGGUUGUAAACCGCUUUCGCCUGUGACGAAGCGUGAGUGACGGUAAUGGGUGAAGAAGCACCGGCUAACUACGUG
rnacentral:rRNA from 1 species